rnacentral:rRNA from 1 species
GUAGGGGAGCAAACGUUGUCCGGAUUUAUUGGGCGUAAAGGGCUCGUAGGCGGUUCAACAAGUCGGUCGUGAAAACCCGGGGGGCUCAACCCCGGGGACGCCGGUCGAAACUGUUGUGACUAGAGUUCGGUAGAGGUGAGUGGAAUUCUCGGUGUAGCGGUGGAAUGCGCAGAUAUCGAGAGGAACACCAUUAGCGAAGGCGGCUCACUGGGCCGAUACUGACGCUGAGGAGCGAAAGCGUGGGGAGCAAACAGGAUUAGAUACCCUGGUAGUCCACGCCGUAAACGAUGAACACUAGGUGUGGCGGACUGAUUCAUGUCGGCUGCGCCGUAGCUAACGCAUUAAGUGUUCCGCCUGGGGAGUACGGCCGCAAAGGCUA